AUGCCAGCUUUGUGGCAGUCAUGGCUCUGCACCACUGCAGCAAAGACACAGGGCACUCUCAUUGAAGGGACACCUCUGGAAUGGGAAUUAGCCAGCAGGGCUGAGGGAGCGCUCCUAGAACCCCCAAACAGAGAGAGGUCAGAGAAGUGGCUCAGGGAACAAGUUUUAACACAUGGGAAGAUUAUCCAAGGCAAAAAGAGAUUCUGAAACUGAGGAGAAACCUUUUAUAUUCUGGCAUCUGUAAUUUUGCUAUUUAUUUCAACCAGAAGAAAGAGUUCUUCUUGGGACUGGAAUUAACAUGCAGCGCAAUUUUAGGUAAAUUUUUGGGAAAUCCCUUUGUGUCGUUGCUCAAGUAGUUAAAUACUUAUCAAAAC
rnacentral:lncRNA from 1 species